UUUCAGUCCGUGCCGGUGUGCGCGCACGAGGGCGCAGCGGGCUGUGGUCCCGCACGAGGAAUCGAGCGUGUCGUGUCGUCGGGGGCUCGCUGUGAAAUGAAGCUCCACGUGACGCGAGGGGCUUCGGAGAGCUGCGUCCUCGUGCUGGCUCAGGCGCCCUGUGUCUGUGAUGGUCUUCAUCCUGUCUUGGCUUCGGUCCGGCGCUAAUCCCCCGGUGCUCUCAGGCGGGAGGUUGAUGUUGUACUCAAUCAGCUGUGUGUUGGUGCUCCAGGUCUCUGUUGUACUUAUCGCUGACGAGCAGCCGGCUCCUCCCUCCUGCUGCUGCUGCUGCUGCUGCCGCCGCCACCGUCUAAUAGGAGGGAGAGAGACCAAUAGAGAGAACGAGAGGGAGAGAACAACGAGUUCCGUGCACCCUGUGUUAGAGGAAGCCAUCAUGGACCUCCUCGCCGUCUGCUCCCGCCCCGACUGACAACAUGUUAAAGUCAAUCUAUUCAUUCUGUGACGGCAGCCAAUAAAUCAACUGUUGUCCCAUGA